AAAGAAAAGGGUAAAAGAUCUCUUGCUUCUGUCAUUAGUUUAGGUAAAUGGUUAAACUAUAUUAAAAGCAAAGAAGAUUUUUCUGCUGUCGUUGGGAACUUAUUGAGGUUUGUUGCUUACAAGCUUUUCAUGCAUAAUAAUUUCUUGUUUUGGUAAUAACCAUUUUCGAUAGUUUAUCAAUUAUCACUGACUUAGCCACUCAUGUUCUUAUAUUUCCCUUUAGGAGGUAAAGAUUGAUUCUUGGGGGUGUUUUGUAUUUUUUGUUUGUUACUGAUGUCAGGUGAAACUUCAGAAACAUAAUGCAGUUGUGCAUGGGCUCUCAGAUACAAAAACAGGCUACCUUGUGCUUCAAGGAUCCUGCAGACUGAAGGAGUAUCUUUCCCUUCACUCUUGUUAUGUCUCUCCUUGAAAAUAUAAUAAGAUUCAUCAUCACAUGAUUGGCUAGAUUCAUGUUGUUCUUGAGGGUAAGGCCAAGUCAUCUUUCACUGUAAGAUAGUUACAACAGUCCUCUUGCUUGUGCUGUUCUGACCGUUAAAAACAAGGGGUGAGAAACUCUCCUUGCUAAAAUGUUCUACUUAGAAUUGAACAUAAAGGUUGUUGGGGAUAUCUUUCAGGUAUAAUAUUUAGCGGUGAUUCGGCAACAUUACUAAGGGAAUGUGAUGGAAAUGCUGUCUUUUUACCGUCUAUGAAUACUUACUGAUAUCAUAUCCACUCCAGAUUGUGGAGGUUCUAAUCUGAAAGGUGGUUUAUUUGGUUGACAUGGGGAUAAGAGUUUUCCAAAUUAUUAAUUUAAAGAAAAAAGCUUUUUAGCUUGUCUCCUCAUUGUUGAUUGCAAAACAUAUAAAGAGACCCUGGUCUAGUUCAUGAUCUUGGCUUGAAUAAAAACUUUUCUAAGUUUUUAAGGGAACUUACUCAUGUUCCUUCAAGCAUUUACUUGGUCUCAAACGCAUUUAUUGAUGUCAUAGGUUUAGGAUAUAGCUUUGAUCAGAAGAGUACAAGGAGAUAAACAAAGAGACUGACAGAAGAGAGCAAGCAAAGCUUAUUUCUUCAGUAAUCUUGAGAGCCAUGAUUUUGAGAUCUUUCACCUUCAGUUGCGCUUUUGCGCCUUCUCUCAUUGUGUCCAGCUAAGCGUCUCCUACAACUCCGUUUGGAUUCAUCAAACUCACCGAGGUCGUGAAACCUAUAAAAAACCAAAGUUAGAAUUCUUAUUUUCUUCUUGUUUUUUAUCACAGGGGAUGAAUAUAUUUGAUGACAAAGAGAUGGUACCUGCUACAUUGUUGGCAGAAACGUUGGUGAAGACCAUAGAUCCGAACAACAGGAGCUUUGGCAUGAAAUUCGCAGACUUUGUGUCGU
rnacentral:lncRNA from 1 species